UCUGCUUGUGUACGGAAGAGAGGCAGUGUUUCCUUCACAGGUUCCCAUUAAAUUGCCACUUUCCACAAUCAUCCUCCCUGAUGAAGCAAGUUACGUGAUGAUGCUUUGGGCUGCAAAGGACACUGGGAGGGUUGAAGCAGUUGUUGGCCCAUACAAACUGUAUGAUCAUUCUUUUCGCACCCUGCAGGGGAAUGA